rnacentral:rRNA from 1 species
UAACAAGGAUUCCCCUAGUAACUGCGAGUGAAGCGGGAAAAGCUCAAAUUUAAAAUCUGGCAGUCUCACUGUCCGAGUUGUAAUCUGGAGAAGCAUUUUCUGUGCUAGACCGUGUACAAGUCUCUUGGAAUAGAGCGUCAUAGAGGGUGAGAAUCCCGUCCAUGACACGGAUUACUAGUGCUUUGUGAUAUGCUCUCGAAGAGUCGAGUUGUUUGGGAAUGCAGCUCAAAAUGGGUGGUAAAUUCCAUCUAAAGCUAAAUAUUGGCGAGAGACCGAUAGCGAACAAGUACCGUGAGGGAAAGAUGAAAAGCACUUUGGAAAGAGAGUUAAACAGUACGUGAAAUUGUUGAAAGGGAAACGCUUGAAGUCAGUCGCGUUGUCUGAGACUCAGCCUUGCUUGCAUGGUGUACUUCUCAGUUAACGGGUCAACAUCAAUUUCAGUUGGUGGAUAAAGGCAUUGGGAAUGUGGCACCUUCGGGUGUGUUAUAGCCCUUUGUUGCAUACACUGACCGGGAUUGAGGAACGCAGCACGCCACUAAGGCCAGGGGUUCGCCCCAUGUAACGUGCUUAGGAUGUUGGCAUAAUGGCUUUAAGCGACCCGUCUUGAAACACGGACCAAGGAGUCUAACAUGCCUGCGAGUAUUAGGGUGGAAAACCCUUGUGCGUAAUGAAAGUGAAAGUUGGGACCUCUUUGAGGGCACCGACGCCUGGCCCUGAAGUUUACUGACGGCGCUACGGUAGAGCAUGUAUGUUGGGACCCGAAAGAUGGUGAACUAUGCCUGAAUAGGGUGAAGCCAGGGGAAACUCUGGUGGAGGCUCGUAGCGAUUCUGACGUGCAAAUCGAUCGUCAAAUUUGGG